rnacentral:rRNA from 1 species
GAUGAACGCUAGCGGCAGGCUUAAUACAUGCAAGUCGAGGGGCAGCACGGGUAGCAAUACCUGGUGGCGACCGGCAAACGGGUGCGGAACACGUACGCAACCUUCCCAUAACUGGUGAAUAGCCCUCCGAAAGGAGGAUUAAUACACCGUAACUUAACGAAGUGGCAUCACUUUGUUAAUAUAGGCUUCGGCCGGUUUUGGAUGGGCGUGCGCCUGAUUAGGUAGUUGGCGGGGUAACGGCCCACCAAGCCUGCGAUCAGUAACUGGUGUGAGAGCACGACCAGUCACACGGGCACUGAGACACGGGCCCGACUCCUACGGGAGGCAGCAGUAAGGAAUAUUGGUCAAUGGACGAAAGUCUGAACCAGCCAUGCCGCGUGAAGGAUUAAAGGCCCUCUGGGUUGUAAAACUUCUUUUAUCUGGGACGAAAAAAAGGGUAUUCUUACUCACUUGACGGUACCAGAGGAAUAAGCACCGGCUAACUCCGUGCCAGCAGCCGCGG